CAGAGAUAACCUUUGUGAGGCGUAGCAUUUCUACUAUGCAGAUAAUCUAUCAUGACUUACAGUUUUUCUAAUUUAUGAAACUGAAUCCAUCUCAACAUCUUGCUUCCAUAACCCUUUGCAGACUCAUAGGGACCAAUAAACAUCCAGUGAGAGGAAGCCACUGGAACACUCACCACUGUCCUCUCAGGCUUUGAUGCAUGAUUAAAGCUCAAGGCCGGACACAGCUUUGACUUUGCUGUCACUGCAGUGUCCUACAUAAACUGAAAGCCAUACUCUUUUUCAGCCACAAGGGGGAGACCAAGAUUUGGGCAACAGCAGAUAUUUACUUGGAGAAAACUAUUCUGCUACCAACUAAAGCCGGCUUACACUCCAUGAGUCCCAGGAGGAUCAAAGAGGCCAGCCCCGUCAUCGUCAUGGAGAGAAGGAGGAUGCCGCGGCGACCACACCUGUCUACAAUCGUCCAAAGCAACAGCCAGGCCCCACCGCCUGCACACACAGAGAGCAGAACGAGGAUCUAACGUCAGUGCUGCAAACACACCUGUGAAGCUUUCAUCGUCCCUCACGUCUCUGUUGGAGUUCCUUCUCUCGCUGAACGCGUUCAUGUCUGAAGAUCGCUCCGACAGAAGGAGCCAGCGAGGAGAUUCUGGAAACACCCCAGGAACUCUGCAGGAGGAGGAGGAAUAUACUUUAACUCCAGCUCACUCUUUAAUCUCAGAAUGCCUGCAUGGAACUGUCUGCCGCAUGGUGGAGCCAUAAAUCAUAGAGAAGAGAGAAGAGGCAGGUGUAAGACAGCGGCACCCCCACGGCCCGGCCUGCUACAGAGCUGCUUUCAGGCGGUACUCUGCGCUAUCCUUGCUGAUGCUCCUCUUGGUUACCGGGGCCCGCAGAGUUGGCAGGAGGAAGGGGGAGAAGUCCUGGAGUGAACAGCACACAUGCGUUAAAGCCGUGGGUGAGUGUGGUUUGUAUGA